UCUGGUGAUUAUGGCUUGAAGGUAACACCCGUUCCCAUGCCGAACACGAAGGUUAAGCUUCAAAGCGCUGAUGGUACUGCAGGGGAAGCCCUGU
rnacentral:rRNA from 1 species